AGCUAUGUGUCUUACAUUAAUCCGAGAGGAAUUAAUUUGGUAGGAAGGUUGAUGGAUUGACUAGAAAUAGCACAGAAGUGUCUUAUCACAGAACGUAGCCUUUCUGAGAAAUCAUCUGCCCAGCAAGGCCAGUAGCUUAAUUACAAUUCAUUUGAAAUGAAAGGGAGACAAAUACACCAUUGUAAGAAUUGGGAUGGAGAAUUGCUAAUGAGGAUUGAGACAGUGGCUUGAGGAAGAAAAAAAAGGCCAAUCUAUUUGCAGUGGACAGAACCUCUGGCCAGUGGCCCAGAACAAGAACAUAUAUCUGAAAAUCUUCAUGACUCCCUCUAA
rnacentral:lncRNA from 1 species